UACGUAGGGUGCGAGCGUUAAUCGGAAUUACUGGGCGUAAAGCGUGCGCAGGCGGUUCGUUAAGUCUUGUGUGAAAGCCCCGGGCUCAACCUGGGAAUGGCAUGGGAAACUGGCGGGCUGGAGUGUGGCAGAGGGGGGUGGAAUUCCGCGUGUAGCAGUGAAAUGCGUAGAGAUGCGGAGGAACACCGAUGGCGAAGGCAGCCCCCUGGGCCAACACUGACGCUCAGGCACGAAAGCGUGGGGAG
rnacentral:rRNA from 1 species